GGGGAAUUGUUCGCAAUGGGCGCAAGCCUGACGACGCAACGCCGCGUGGAGGAUGAAGAUUUUCGGAUCGUAAACUCCUGUCGAGCGGGAAGAAUAGUUUCCGGGCGAAUAUCCCGGGAACCUGACGGUACCGCUAAAGGAAGCCCCGGCUAACUCCGUGCCAGCAGCCGCGGUAAGACAGAGGGUGCAAACGUUGUUCGGAAUCACUGGGCGUAAAGCGCGUGUAGGCGGCACGGCAUGUCGGAUGUGAAAUCCCAUGGCUCAACCAUGGAAGUGCACCCGAAACUGCCGAGCUGGAGUCUCGGAGAGGAAGGUGGAAUGCUUGGUGUAGAGGUGAAAUUCGUAGAUAUCAAGCGGAACACCGGUGGCGAAGGCGGCCUUCUGGACGAUGACUGACGCUGAGACGCGAAAGCGUGGGGAGCAAA
rnacentral:rRNA from 1 species